rnacentral:rRNA from 1 species
AGUGAACGCUGGCGGUAGGCCUAACACAUGCAAGUCGAACGGCAGCACAGUAAGAGCUUGCUCUUACGGGUGUCGAGUGGCGGACGGGUCAGGAAUACAUCGGAAUCUACUUUUUCGUGGGGGCUAACGUAGGGAAACUUACGCUAAUACCGCAUACGACCUACGUGUGAAAGCAGGGGAUCUUCGGACCUUGCGCGAUUGUAUGAGCCGAUGUCGGAUUCGCUAGUUGGCUGGGCAAAGGCCCACCAAGGCGACGAUCCGUAGCUGGUCUGAGAGGAUGAUUCGCCAGACUGGAACUGAGAAACGGUCCAGACUCCUACGGGAGGCAGCAGUGGGGAAUAUUGGACAAUGGGCGAAAGCCUGAUCCAGCCAUACCGCGUGGGUGAAGAAGGCCUUCGGGUUGUAAAGCCCUUUUGUUGGGAAAGAAAAGCAGCAGGUUAAUACCCCGCUGUUCUGACGGUACCCAAAGAAUAAGCACCGGCUAACUUCGUG